rnacentral:rRNA from 1 species
GUUCGCUCCCCACGCUUUCGCUCCUCAGCGUCAGUAAUGGCCCAGAGAUCCGCCUUCGCCACCGGUGUUCCUCCUGAUAUNUGNGCAUUUCACCGCUACACCAGGAAUUCCGAUCUCCCCUACCACACUCUAGCUAGCCCGUAUCGAAUGCAGACCCGAGGUUAAGCCUCGGGCUUUCACAUCCGACGUGACAAGCCGCCUACGAGCUCUUUACGCCCAAUAAUUCCGGACAACGCUUGCGCCCUACGUAUUACCGCGGCUGCUGGCACGUAGUUAGCCGGCGCUUCUUCUGCAGGUACCGUCACUUUCGCUUCUUCCCUGCUGAAAGAGGUUUACAACCCGAAGGCCGUCAUCCCUCACGCGGCGUCGCUGCAUCAGGCUUUCGCCCAUUGUGCAAUAUUCCCCACUGCUGCCUCCCGUAGGAGUCUGGGCCGUGUCUCAGUCCCAGUGUGGCCGGUCGCCCUCUCAGGCCGGCUACCCGUCGUCGCCUUGGUGGGCCAUUACCCCACCAACAAGCUGAUAGGCCGCGGGCUCAUCC